rnacentral:rRNA from 1 species
AUUGAACGCUGGCGGCAUGCCUUACACAUGCAAGUCGAACGGCAGCACGGGUGCUUGCUCCUGGUGGCGAGUGGCGAACGGGUGAGUAAUACAUCGGAACAUGUCCUGUAGUGGGGGAUAGCCCUGCGAAAGCCGGAUUAAUACCGCAUACGAUCUACGGAUGACAGCGGGGGACCUUCGGGCCUCGCGCUAUAGGGUUGGCCGAUGGCGGAUUAGCUGGUUGGGGGGGUAAAGGCCUACCAAGGCGACGAUCAGGAGCUGGUCGGAGAGGACGACCAGCCAGACUGGGAGGGAGACAGGGCCCAGAGGGCUAGGGGAGGGGGCAGUGGGGAGUGGGGGAGCAGGGGCGGAGGACUGAUCAAGCAGGGCGGCGUGUGGGAGGAGGGACGUCGGGUGGGAGAGGACGGUUGUCGGGAAGGAAAGCGUUGGCGCUAGUGCGGUCGGGGGAUGACGGUACCGGAAGAAUAAGGACCGGCUAACUACGUG